rnacentral:rRNA from 1 species
GCGACGCCGCGUGAGGGAUGACGGCCUUCGGGUUGUAAACCUCUUUCGACAGGGACGAAGCGAAAGUGACGGUACCUGUAGAAGAAGCACCGGCCAACUACGUGCCAGCAGCCGCGGUAAUACGUAGGGUGCGAGCGUUGUCCGGAAUUACUGGGCGUAAAGAGCUUGUAGGCGGUUCGUCGCGUCGAUUGUGAAAACUUGCAGCUCAACUGCAAGCUUGCAGUCGAUACGGGCGGACUAGAGUACUUCAGGGGAGACUGGAAUUCCUGGUGUAGCGGUGAAAUGCGCAGAUAUCAGGAGGAACACCGGUGGCGAAGGCGGGUCUCUGGGAAGUAACUGACGCUGAGAAGCGAAAGCAUGGGUAGCGAACAGGAUUAGAUACCCUGGUAGUCCAUGCCGUAAACGGUGGGUACUAGGUGUGGGUUUCCUUCCACGGGAUCCGUGCCGUAGCUAACGCAUUAAGUACCCCGCCUGGGGAGUACGGCCGCAAGGCUAAAACUCAAAGGAAUUGACGGGGGCCCGCACAAGCGGCGGAGCAUGUGGAUUAAUUCGAUGCAACGCGAAGAACCUUACCUGGGUUUGACAUACACCAGAAAGCUGCAGAGAUGUAGCCCCCC